ACUUUCAACGUGUUUUGCACCUAAUUGUUGUAAUAUUAAGAAGUUAGCUAAGAAUA
rnacentral:tRNA from 1 species